GACGAACGCUGGCGGCGUGCUUAACACAUGCAAGUCGAACGGAAAGGCCCUGCUUUUGUGGGGUGCUCGAGUGGCGAACGGGUGAGUAACACGUGAGUAACCUGCCCUUGACUUUGGGAUAACUUCAGGAAACUGGGGCUAAUACCGGAUAGGAGCUCCUGCUGCAUGGUGGGGGUUGGAAAGUUUCGGCGGUUGGGGAUGGACUCGCGGCUUAUCAGCUUGUUGGUGGGGUAGUGGCUUACCAAGGCUUUGACGGGUAGCCGGCCUGAGAGGGUGACCGGCCACAUUGGGACUGAGAUACGGCCCAGACUCCUACGGGCGGCAGCAGUGGGGAAUAUUGCACAAUGGGCGGAAGCCUGAUGCAGCAACGCCGCGUGCGGGAUGACGGCCUUCGGGUUGUAAACCGCUUUCGCCUGUGACGAAGCGUGAGUGACGGUAAUGGGUCAAGAAGCACCGGCUAACUACGUG
rnacentral:rRNA from 1 species